GACGAACCGAGCGAACGUUAUUCGGAAUCACUGGGCUUAAAGGGUGCGUAGGCGGGCUCGUGAGUCAGGGGUGAAAUCCCACGGCCCAACCGUGGAAGUGCCUCUGAUACUGCGGGCCUAGAGGGGGACAGGGGCAUGCGGAACUUCCGGGUGGAGCGGUGAAAUGCGUAGAUAUCGGAAGGAACACCGGUGGCGAAAGCGGCGUGCUGGAUCCCUACUGACGCUGAGGCACGAAAGCCAGGGGAGCAAACGGG
rnacentral:rRNA from 1 species